rnacentral:rRNA from 1 species
AACGAACGCUGGCGGCAGGCUUAACACAUGCAAGUCGAGCGCCCCGCAAGGGGAGCGGCAGACGGGUGAGUAACGCGUGGGAAUCUACCCAUCUCUACGGAAUAACGCAUGGAAACGUGUGCUAAUACCGUAUACGUCCUUCGGGAGAAAGAUUUAUCGGAGAUGGAUGAGCCCGCGUUGGAUUAGCUAGUUGGUGGGGUAAAGGCCUACCAAGGCGACCAUCCAUAGCUGGUCUGAGAGAAUGAUCAGCCACACGGGGACUGAGACACGGCCCAGACUCCUACGGGGGGCAGCAGUGGGGAAGAUUGGACAAUGGGCGCAAGCCGGAUCCAGCCAUGCCGCGUGAGUGAUGAAGGCCCUAGGGGUGUAAAGCGCUUUCGCCGACGAAGAUAAUGACGGUAGUCGGAGAAGAAGCCCCGGCUAACUUCGUGCCAGCCGCCGCCGUAACAC